GAAAACUUAAAUAUAAGACCCUGUCUUAUUUUCGGGGAAACACGGUAUUGCCACGCUGUCUCGCCGUCCCGCUGGGAGCUGCUCAGCUCUUCCCUUGCGUUGUCACCAUCUCCCCGUAUGAAGUUCCCUUCCCUUCAAGCACUCAGAGAACGCAGAGUGGCUCCAUUCUUCUUCACUGGAAUCUGUAAGGAGACAUCUCCGGGCCAGAUUGGGGCCGAGACCCACAGUCAGCAGAACGGGGAAGCUCCCUGCUUGUCCCCAGAAUUGGCAAGACGGUCACUUGUUGAUCAGCAGAGAGAACCGUUCCUCAGGGCAAACGGCCAAGGACCUGUGGUUUCGCACUCGGGCCAAGGUUGUCUGUUGUCCCCCACGCAUAGGACCAGACGGUGAAGGACAGGGAUGCACGUGUCCCCUCCCCUUUUAUCUCGAGCUAUGUCUGGAGGAACAGGUGCUGCUGACCCUUGAGCAGUCUCAGGUCCUGAGAAAAUAGCUGCCCCGGGCGGUUGCCCAAUUGAACAGCAUGGAAACAAAACGACUGGCGCUAAGUGGCGCUGCAGUCUUGCACCGUCUCUUUGUGCGUCCGUGUGUUCUGUGUGUCUUUCUGUGUUCAUCCCCCAUUCUGCAAUCAUGCCGCGGCAGGAAUCUGCCUAAUAAAGUAGACAAGCCUGCUGAGUAGGGGGAUAUCCGUUCGACAAUUUCUUGCAUUCACCUAGACAACGAAUAAGUCAGGGCUGACCUGACUGACGCACCGCCGAAUGGGGGAAUGGAGAAGAUGUGAGAUGUUUUAAGACAACGCUCGGUGGUGACCUUUUAGUGUUGAGAGGUCAGGAAGAAGCGGGCGGUCGGAGGGCGGCUGCUGGGGUCUCUGACCAGGAUAGGCAGAGAGAUUGCGAUAAGAGGAACGGCAGCUUGCCGGCUGCAAAGUGACUCGCUUAUCAUUUCAGAUGGGUUUGCUGUUGUGGGUGUCAUGGCCGCCCGGCCCGGAAGAGCUGCCCGGUAAAAGUAGUUCCGGGUCAGAAAGCAGGAAGCCGGGGGCUGCUGGGAGAAUGGCGGCUACGCAGAGUCACGAGUGGUACCCGGAAGUCGUGGGAAGGAGUGAGCUCACCGCGGAGAAGGGAGAGAAAAGUCAUGCAGGAAAAUCGGUUGGCUGAGGAUGAACCUGAGGAUCCACGGAAGUGGGUUUUAGAUCUUUGGCAAGUCAAAAUCCCAGAAAGUGAGCUCGUUUGUCUGGCAAGAUGAAUAGAUUAACCAGGAUCAGCGAUUCUCAUGCGCACUACAAAUCGUCACCACCAGGAGGACUCAGACUACUGGAGAUGACUCAGAGGGGCCCAGCCAUGAAAGCCACACUUUUUUGGAAGAUGCUCCCAAGGAGGUUAUUAUGCUAUUAAUUCUCAUAUCAUAAUUUGAAGAUUAAUUUGAGAAUGGUCUGCGUAUUCCUUAAGGGUUCUUCAAAGUCCUAAAUGAGCGAUGUCUGGGCUUUCAUUAAACCCAUAAAGUCUGUUCUGUCUCCAUUUACAAUAUCAUUUCCUAUUUUAUCAUUUUCCUCUUAUGUUCUCUUUCCAAUGAAGCAAAGGAAAUGAAGAGCUGGAAACUUCUCUUUGUGUUGCUCUGUAAAGACACAUUUUCAUGAAUACUAAAAAGCAAAAGGGAAGACAGAGGAUUAAAAAAAAAAAGAAAGGCAAAGAAAAGGAGAGAUUUUUAUUAUCUUUACUUUCUGGUACUGUGUGUUUUCCUGCCUUUCCUAACUUCUGGCUUUGCAUAUUUGUUUUUAAAAUAUGUAAAUUGUGGCACAUACUGAACAUAGAACCCUCAGCUCAGAUGUGAGUGAAAAUCAAGGAUCAGCAAGUGAUGUGGGCACUCAAGUGCCAUCUGCAAACAUCAUGCAGAAUUUUGCUUUUUGAGAAGUGGCUUGAGUUCCUUCUAGUCUUUCCUGCCUCAUCUGUGGCCAUUUUCCCAUCCUAAAGAGAGGAGAGACUGAAGGACAAGAGAGGUCUUGUCCAGAAAUGGCGUAGAGAGCCUUAGGGAGAGAAAAGGGUUGCACUGAUACUUUUUUUUUUUUUUUUCAUCUGCAUGGGGCGAUGUGUA